rnacentral:misc_RNA from 1 species
GAUGAAGAACGUAGCGAAAUGCGAUAAGUAAUGUGAAUUGCAGAAUUCAGUGAAUCAUCGAAUCUUUGAACGCACAUUGCGCCCGCCAGUAUUCUGGCGGGCAUGCCUGUCUGAGCGUCAUUUCAACCCUCAUGCCCCUAGGGCGUGGUGUUGGGGAUCGGCCAAAGCCCGCGAGGGACGGCCGGCCCCUAAAUCUAGUGGCGGACCCGUCGUGGCCUCCUCUGCGAAGUAGUGAUAUUCAGCAUCGGAGAGCGAUGAGCCCCUGCCGUUAAACCCCCAACUUUCCAAGGUUGACCUCAGAUCAGGUAGGAAUACCCGCUGAACUUAAGCAUAUCAAUAAGCGGAGGA